rnacentral:rRNA from 1 species
AACGUAGGAGGCGAGCGUUAUUCGGAUUUACUGGGCGUAAAGCGCGUGCAGGCGGUUCGGGAAGUUGGAUGUGAAAGCUCCUGGCUUAACUGGGAGAGGUCGUUCAAGACUCUCGAACUUGAGAUUGACAGAGGGAAGCGGAAUUCCGGGUGUAGUGGUGAAAUGCGUAGAUAUCCGGAGGAACACCAGUGGCGAAAGCGGCUUCCUGGGUCACAUCUGACGCUCAGACGCGAAAGCUAGGGUAGCAAACGGGAUUAGAGACCCCGGUAGUCCUAGCUGUAAACGAUGUAGACUUGGCGUCUGCGGGUUUAAAUCCGUGGGUGCCGAAGCAAACGCGAUAAGUCUACCGCCUGGGGACUACGGCCGCAAGGUUAAA